UACGGGAGGCAGCAGUAAGGAAUAUUGGGCAAUGGGCGCAAGCCUGACCCAGCCAUCCCGCGUGCAGGAUGACGGCCCUAUGGGUUGUAAACUGCUUUUGUUUGAGAAGAACUAAGUACAUUAAUGUGCUUUUGACGGUAUCUUACGAAUAAGCACCGGCUAACUCCGUGCCAGCAGCCGCGGUAAUA
rnacentral:rRNA from 1 species